ensembl:lncRNA
GAGGAACUUAGGGCUUUGGGGAUUCCGGGGAGGGCGAGAGCGCACUGCUAUCCGUCAGGACCGAAGCCGUCAGCUUAUGAAUCAGAAGCCCCGGUGGGGUGGGCUAUUGGGAACUCUUGCCAUUCCCACGCUCACGCCUGCUUCAGGAGGCAGUCACUUUUACGCCCCACAGUUGAAAAUCCGCUCUCAGUUUCCCUGAAUCCCGGAUCCCACUCCCUCCCAUCUUCAGUUGGACCUGCCGCCGAGAAACAAAGGUCCUCAAGCAGCCCCGCGGUUAAGAUUCCCUGUGCCUCUCCUCUGCAGCGCAACACAGAAGACUCCAAGAUACUCAACAUGGAGGUUCCUGAGGCGGGCUUGAGAGCAAGAAGAGAAAGGAGUGGUUCGAGUGAGGUCGCAGCUUUGUGCCCGAUUGCAGCGAGACAGCGGGCCUCGGGGUCCCUUCGAAUCGUUUUCGAGGCGGCCAGGGAAGCUCUGCGCGUGGCAAAGCGCCACUGCAGGCAACAGGCAUCGCUCCGACCCACUCUGGCGCAAGUAACGAGAGCCAGCUGUCCCCCGCGCCACAUCAGAAAGGCUUGAUUUUAUUCCAGCCCCAGAGCAUGCUCUUGAAAGCGCGUGGGUUCAUUCGAGUGCUACUUAAUUAUGAAAUAUACACACGGUACGUGUAAUCAGGAUUAGUGUUGAUUCUUGGGGCAGGAAAUUGCAGUUUAUAUCUCCCCACCUUCCCAAUAGAGCUAUUCUUUUGCCCAAACCUGAACACAUUUAACAGGCGGAGAAACAAAGAGAAGUUCAAAGACAACCAAAAUUCUGACUCCAGGAAACCGUUCUUGGGCCCAGAGUUUUGGAACAUGGAAAAUACACCCAUAAUUUAUAUUACCUUUAUAAAAAAUAUAUAUUACAAAUUCCUUUUGAACAUAAUGAUAAGCACUGUUUCAACUAAAGAUGAUGUUUUUUUCUGACUGCACAGAGAUAAAGAAAUCUCAUUUACUGUUUUUUCUGUAUUAAUUAAUGACUACUAGUAUUAUUACAUAUGGAAUAUAUUAGUCUACAUGCCUGGAAAGUUAUAGAUGAGCAAAUCUGUGGUUGAUUUCCUACAUGGAAUAGACUUUCCUUCUGCUGGCUCAGUUUUACUGAUAACCAGGGAAAGAGGCAUAAAAGUUAUUUUCACGCGUCCCAGUCGCACCUUAAAAUGUAAAGCUCUCUUUGCCAGAAACAGGAACAGAAAAGAAAGCUAAAGCAGCGGCUUCAGUGAACAAGUCAGGCAGCACCCUCCUCAGACUGAGUGGGCACAUAAGACAGCCUUCCAGCCUGUUUGCUGUUUGAUUUCAGUGACACCCCAAGCUUCAUGAAAUCCAAAUGAGACAUUUAUUGAAAGGUGCCUGGUUUUAUGUGACUCAACUGACAGCGUAGGGAAUGCAUUGAACAAAAACAUCAACACUAGGGAGGAAACAUGGAGACCCCACGGAACCUGGGACCCCACUGCCGGCUGGAUUAACUCAAAUCUUGCCCCUUUCAGCCUGAGGUGCAAGGAGCAGGACCCUCUGAAAGCUGCAAGGAAGCCAAGGUUAAGCCAGUGAGUGAGCCUAUUAAAGAUCGUAUGCUGUGUUGCCUUGAGCAAUAACACCAGCUUCAUGCUACCAUCUCAAAUCGAUAACACAAAGUUAUUGCCAGCCUGACCAGGGCACCUCUUCUUCCCUUUCUCUCCCUUAAAGGUAACCAGUGUCUGUGCAUUCAUCUUUUAAAGGCAGAACUGAGAAGCAUGUGGCUGUAACAUGACUAUUACAUGUCACCAGAUACAUACCCAGAUACACACGCACACAUAUAUGAGUAAAUUACAAGGGUGAGUUAUAGAUGAGUGCAGUGAGAUAUAGUUCACCACCGCCCCCCACAACCAAGGGGGCCCAUAUAAAUGUCCCAAUAAAUUCUAUUAUUUUCACCCCCACUAAAAAUGUGUUAUCAAAACACUGUCCGUGUUAUUCAAACACUUUGUAAAUUCUGAGCAGACUUGCUGCCGGUUCUCCUUUUAACCCUAGGAAAACAUUCCAACAUUAACCGGUCACCGGUGCUUCGCCUUCACUCUGGGCAAACGUCAAUGGGUUUUUUGUGGUGAGUUGGUCCUUUUACUAUUUAUCUAUGGCCUUUUCUUUGUUGAUGUUGCAUUUUAUUUCGCCAUCUCGGGUUCACUCUUUGGCCCUUUGUUCUCUGAUGGCCAGAUCCCCACCUCCACUGGGCUUUCCCGGGGGGAGGGGGCUUCCAUCGCGGGAAGGCUGUUCAUGUUUAGACUUUUUUUUGUUUUUUUAAAGAGAAGUCCCGUAAGAUAACACAUUUUGGCAAGGACAAGUAGUGUUGAUUUUGCUGAGAACAGCAAGAUACUCCCAUCAACACAGUUUCACUUACUAUAAGAAUUUGAUUCACUGUCCCUCGGAAAUAGACUGAUAGUUUGCUUUAAAAGAAAUCCACAAAGGUGUCCAUAAAUGUGUGAGGCAUAGGGUGACAUUAAACCCACUGUACUUUUCAAACAAAACCGACCAAAAUUUAAAUUAUUUUCUUUAGCUAUUAAUCCAUGUAUUUUGAUUGCUAAGGGCAAGUGUAGUUCACUGUUAACAUACAAGGAGAUGGGGAAACAGGGGAUGAAAGUUAAGAAACAUACCAAAAGUUGCUUAUUUCAAAAAAUAAAUGAUCCUAAACACUGGAUCAAGAAUCUUCUUUAUGAAACUUUUUUUUUAACUGCAAGUGAACUCUGGACUUAACUGCUGUUCAGUCAUCACCACCAUCAUAUUUAUGGAAGUACAGAGAUUCACGUAAGUAACAAGAAAGGCAAGGCAACAUGAGGCAGAAUAAAGUGGAAUGCUCUCAAAAAUAAAGUAUGGGAAUGUUUGCCUAAUCACUGCUACAUUAAACUAUGAGUUAUACAGGGCUCCCCCUGUCUUGCUUACUUCUGCACCUUGAAAGGCCUGACUCUUAGUAGGUGCUCAUCUCUUGAUUGAAAGGAUGGGGUUACUGAAUCUGUAAGACUAGAACAGACAAAAUAGCCCAAGGACAGUGUCAGGUCUCAGACUUUAUAGCCAAGGAGAUGACAAUGAAAGGUUUUUUCCUAAGAGAAAAAACACAGAUCUUCCUAAAUCAAUGGCAUUUUCAUCUUUUUAGGGCUGUUCCUAGAUUUUUAAGGAUGUUUUACAUCUUUUUUUAGACCUUUCCUAACCCAGAGUUCUUCCAUUACUGCAAAGCUUCCCCUGUGCAUGUUAAUGUGCAUUCUUCCACCGAAAAAUAGAAAAGUGAAUGUCAGAAUUGCAGGACGGCCGUUGAUGGGAACAACCACCAUGUAGUCACUGAGAAAUCCUGAACAGAAAUCAGUCACACGUCACUAACAGGGACAGCAGAACCAAUGGAAUUUAAUGUUUCAACAGAAGGCACCUAGGAGGCAGGUGUGGCAGGAUGUCUCCACAACAGGUGGGCAGAGUGGAAUCCUGUUGACCAGGGCUUCCAGGUGACGGGCAGCUAGAAUGUUUCCUCCAGCCCCGACUUGAGAAAGGGGAAGAGGGGAAGUCUGGAUUGGAGAGUUCCCGCCAGAAGUGUCAAGCCCUUAAGGUAACCAAGGAAGGAGAGUGAGAGGGAAGGAGGAAGGAAAGUGGACAGGAAGGAGAAAACCAAAAGAGCCGUCCUUAAACCUGUCUUUUCAGAUCCCUAGGCGGAAAGCAGAACGUUGUAUGCAGAAUCUUCUGGGUGUGUGACUCCACGUUUCACCAGCUCGUUGGUUCUGGGCAAACUCCUUCUCUGUCCUCAAUUCCCACGUGUGAUGACCACAAACAGAAAGGAAAGCAGUUAGGACAGCACCCAGCGCACAGGAAAACCUCCCAUCAUACGGAGGCUAAGCUCACUUUUUGCUCUGGACACUGAGGAUUCAGGAUCACUAAUCUUUCUCCUCCAGAGAUUCCCAGUCUGGUGGGGAAGCAGGCCGGCAUCAAACCCUUCCAGGACAAUGUGAACCAGAAGGAGGAAGCGUGAGUGACUCCGUCAGAGCCUGCGAGGAGAGGCCCCAGUCUUUCCAUCCGCUCCUCCCGGGUUCCCCAGAAGCCGGGGUAGCCCAGCGCUGUCCGGGAGCCCGGCCUGGAAGGCGCACUUCAAAGGGAGGCAGCGGGCGCCUGGCCCCCGUGCGCCUUCCGCCCCCCUCCCCCUGGGGUCCCCAUUAGCAUCUGUUUUUCCCAGGCCUCCCGCCCGCCUGCCCCCCGCCGGGAUUUUGCCGUUCCGGCGGAUUAGAAAAUAUUUAGCUCAGGUUUUGUACUCCACCUACUCGGUUAAACGCCCGACGAGGAAGGAGUUAAUAAUAGUCGGAAGCCUCCCAGCGGGGCACUCUGAACUGGAAGUCCUGAAAAAGACGCCACCUGCGGCCUCAAGUUGAGAGGACAAGAUCAACCCUGGAGGGCGGCCUGGAGGAGGUUCUCAAGCCCGGGUCGACCUGGGCUGUUUAACCGCCCCGCAGGUCCAGGGGGCCCAUGGAAGCACCUCCCGCUACAUAUUUUGGUGGUCCACAGAAAAGGAGUCUCUAGGGCGAACAAAGGGUAGCUGGGAUCUUUUCUUAACCCAGUUGGGGUUUGACUUUUCCAGAAUAAAGUUGAACUUCGAAUCCAUAGCCAAAGGAGGGAAACAAUGAAAGAAGUCGAGGCUGACUAUCGGUCAGACUCUCUGCUUUUAAAAGCAGCACCCUAAAACAUUAUCACCCCAUUGUACAGAAGAGUAAAGCGAUGCUUGGAGAGGUGAAGGCUGUUGUCUAAAGGCACAGGGCUAAGAACAGUAGCCUGGGAACUGGGAUCCAGAAGGUCUGAGCGGCGGAGCUCGGGUG